rnacentral:rRNA from 1 species
CGCGAAGAACCUUACCCGGGCUAAAUNUGGUGACCGGUCCCGAAACGGGCNUUCCCUUGGGGCACCAGGGAAGGUGCUGCAUGGCUGUCGUCAGCUCGUGCCGUGAGGUGUUGCCUUAAGUGGCGCAACGAGCGCAACCCCUGUGGUUAGUUACCAGCACGUUAUGGUGGGGACUCUAGCCAGACUGCCUACGCAAGUAGUGAGGAAGGUGGGGACGACGUCAAGUCAUCAUGGCCCUUAUGUCCGGGGCUGCACACGUGCUACAAUGGAUGGUACAGAGGGAAGCCACCCGGUGACGGGGCGCAGAUCUCGAAACAUUCUCAGUUCGGAUUGGAGUUUGCAACUUGACUCCAUGAAGGUGGAAUCGCUAGUAAUCGCNUNUCNG